rnacentral:rRNA from 1 species
AUUGAACCCUGGCGGCAUGCCUAACACAUGCAAGUCGAACGGUAACAGGUUAAGCUGACGAGUGGCGAACGGGUGAGUAAUGUAUCGGAACGUGCCCAGUCGUGGGGGAUAACUGCUCGAAAGAGCAGCUAAUACCGCAUACGACCUGAGGGUGAAAGCGGGGGAUCGCAAGACCUCGCGCGAUUGGAGCGGCUGAUAUCAGAUUAGGUAGUUGGUGAGGUAAAGGCUCACCAAGCCGACAAUCUGUAGCUGGUCUGAGAGGAAGACCAGCCACACUGGGACUGAGACACGGCUCAGACUCCUACGGGAGGCAGCAUUGGUGAAUUUUGGACAAUGGGCGCAAGCCUGUUCCAGCCAUGCCGCGUGCGGGAAGAAGGCCUUCGGGUUGUAAACCGCUUUUGUCAGGGAAGAAAAGGUUCUGGCUAAUACCUGGGACUCAUGACGGUACCUGAAGAAUAAGCACCGGCUAACUACGUGCCAGCAGCCGCAGUAAAAC